AAUUAAGUUAUUAAGGGCAUAGAGUGGAUGCCUUGGUGCUAGAAGGCGAUGAAAGACGUGAUAAGCUGCGAUAAGCUUCGGUUAGGUGCAAACAACCUUUAACCCGGAGAUUUCUGAAUGGGGUAACCUGAUACGAUUGAAUCGUAUCGUUCCUUCCUGAAUAAAAUAAGGAAGGAUACGCAAGACCUGCUGAAUUGAAACAUCUUAGUAAGCAGAGGAAAAGAAAGAGAAUUCGAUUCCGUAAGUAGCGGCGAGCGAAAACGGACCAGCCCAAACCGGCAUCUUUGAUGUCGGGGUUGUAGGACCCCGCUGUGGGACCUUUGAAGAUAGGUGAACACUUUGGAAAGAGUGGACAAAGAGCGUGACAUCCGCGUAACCGAAAUCUGAAAAGGCCCUAGGGAGUUCCUGAGUAGCACGGGACACGUGAAACCCCGUGUGAAUCUGCGCAGACCACUGCGUAAGGCUAAAUACUAACUAGCGACCGAUAGUGAACCAGUACCGUGAGGGAAAGGUGAAAAGUACCCCUGUGAGGGGAGUGAAAUAGAACCUGAAACCCUAUGCCUACAAGGUGUUAGAGCCCUUUCGAGGGUGAUAGCGUGCCUUUUGCUUAAUGAGUCUGCGAGUUACCGUCUGUGGCAAGCUUAAGAUCUUCUGGAUCGUAGGCGUAGCGAAAGCAAGUCCGAAUAGGGCGACCCUAGUUGCAGGCGGUAGACCCGAAACGGAGGUGACCUACCCAUGGCCAGGUUGAAGCUUAGGUGAUACUAAGUGGAGGACCGAACCGGUGUGUGUUGA
rnacentral:rRNA from 1 species